rnacentral:lncRNA from 1 species
GGGUUUCCUGACAACGAAGCUAGGGUUUUCUUCACACGCUAGGAUUUCUCUGCAAUUUUUUGAAGGCCGUAUCUUCUCCGGUUGCGUAGAAGUAUGGUAACCAUAUUAUCCCACUAGAUUAGGGCUUGCAUGUACCUUUGUUGCUGUAUUGUGUAGCUCAUAGUUAUUGGAUCUCUCUUUUCGCAUCCCUAUUAUCCUGUAUCCGAUGGCAGAUGUGAACCCUGUUAAUCCCUCACCUAUUGACCCUACAAAUCCUCUAUUUGUUUACUCUUCUGAUGUCCCCGGCGUUUCUCUUGUUCCUAUUCCUUUCUCGGGUAGUGGCUAUGGGGGUUGAAAGAGAAAGAUGUUAGUCGCCUUGUCGGCUAAGAACAAAAUUGGUUUCGUUGAUGGAACUUGUCCUAGACCAAACACUAACCUGGCUGAACAGAGAUUAUGGGACAGAUACAAUAAUAUGGUCAUCUCCUGAUGACUGCCUCUCUGUCUCCUCAAAUUGCUGAGAGUGUUCAAUACUCUGAGACUGCACAGAGUAUAUGGGCACAACUCGAAGCCAGAUAUGGCACAGCUAAUAGGAUCAAAAUUUUUGAACUUAAACGAGAACUUUCUCAUUCUUCUUUCCUUAGAAAUUUAAAAUUACUGGCUAUGGGGAUUGGAAGAGAAAGGUGAUAGUCGCUUUAUCUGCUAAGAACAAAAUUGCUUUUGUUGAUGGAACUUGUCCUAGACCAACCACUAAUCUGGCUGAACAGAGACUAUGGGACAGAUGCAAUAACAUGGUCAUCUCCUGGUUGACUGCCUCUCUGUCCCCUAAAAUUGCUGAAAGUGUCCAAUACUCUGAGACUGCACAGAGUAUAUGGGCACAACUCGAAGCCAGAUAUGGCACAGCCAAUAGGACCAAAAUUUAACAGAGUUUAUGGGCACAACUCGAAGCAAGAUAUGGCACAGCCAAUAGGACCAAAAUUUUUGAACUGAAACGAGAACUUUCUCAUUCUUCUCAAGGACCCUUAGAUAUAGCCUUCUAUUUCAACAAACUCAAAGGGUUGUGGGAUGAGUUAGGGACAAUGUGCCCAAAUCAUGGACAGAGAUGUAUCUGUGAUGCUUAAAGGAGGAUGAGGAGAAUAAGAUGUUUCAAUUCCUCAUGGGUCUUAAUGAGACAUAUAUGGGGGUGAGGAGCAACUUGUUAACGAUGCAACCUCCUCCCAGUCUUGACAGUGUCUAUAACAUUCUCCUCAAUGAUGAAAAACAGAGACAAGUUCAGUCUGUCUCCCAGUUCAAUCCUGAUUCUAUGUCCUUCAAUGUUAAUACACAUAAACCUUCCACACCUUCCUUCUGUCCAGCUCCAUUGCUCAACUCUCCUCCUCCCAGACAGUAUGCCUAGAGAGUCACUUUUGAUUAGUUCAGAGGACCCCUCUUCUAUAGAUAUUGCAAGAAGUCUGGGCACUUAACUGAUAAGUGCUACAAACUUCAUGGUUUUCCUCAAAGCAUCAGGUUUAAUAAAGGCAAGAGACCCACUGCUGCUCAUGUCACCACUGGUGUUGACUUCACAUCCUCUCCUUAUUCUGCUGGCCAUAAUUCUCCUGCCUCUGGAAUUCAUACUGAGGGUUAUUCACCUGUCCAGCAUGUGGAUGGACAUAAUUCUGCUAUUCCUGGGUUGAGCAGACACUAUUAUGAUCAGUUGAUGAAUCUGCUCCAACAGUCCAAUUUGGGUGAAUCCACUGCUCAGACUUCUCCUGCUCAACCAUCCCCUACUAUAUGUGCUGCCAAUUUUGCUGAUCUGUCCAGCAUGUGGAUGGACAUAAUUAUGCUAUUCCUGGGUUGAGCAGACACCAUUAUGAUCAGUUGAUGAAUCUGCUCCAGCAGUCCAAUUUGGGUGAAUCCACUGCUCAGACUUCUCCUGCUCAGCCAUCCCCUACUAUAUGUUGGUGCCAACUUUGCUUGUACUUGCUAUUCCUGGGUUGAGCAGACACCAUUAUGAUCAGUUGAUGAAUCUGCUCCAGCAGUCCAAUUUGGGUGAAUCCACUGCUCAGACUUCUCCUGCUCAGCCAUCCCCUACUAUAUGUGCUGCCAAUUUUGCUUGUACUAUGCUUAAUGAGAGUCCUGUUUCUAAUUCCAAACUCUGCUUGCUUACUCAAAUUGCUUCUGUUUCCUGGAUAAUAGAUUCUGGUGCUUCUGACCACAUGACAUCUAAUAUACAAUUACUUUUCAAUAUCACUCCUUUACUUGUACCUUAUCUAGUUACCCUUCCUAAUGGGUACAAAGUAAAAGUAACUUCAACUGGCUCUUUUGCUUUAACUCCUUCCAUUACUCUUCAUAAUGUACUGUUUGUUCC